AUCAGUGUGUGUGUUAGUGGAAGCGUCUGGAAAGGCGCGCGAUACAGGGUGACAGCCCCGUACACAAAAAUGCACAUGCUGUGAGCUCGAUGAGUAGGGCGGGACACGUGGUAUCCUGUCUGAAUAUGGGGGGACCAUCCUCCAAGGCUAAAUACUCCUGACUGACCGAUAGUGAACCAGUACCGUGAGGGAAAGGCGAAAAGAACCCCGGCGAGGGGAGUGAAAAAGAACCUGAAACCGUGUACGUACAAGCAGUGGGAGCACAGAGCAAUCUGUGUGACUGCGUACCUUUUGUAUAAUGGGUCAGCGACUUAUAUUCUGUAGCAAGGUUAACCGAAUAGGGGAGCCGAAGGGAAACCGAGUCUUAACCGGGCGUUAAGUUGCAGGGUAUAGACCCGAAACCCGGUGAUCUAGCCAUGGGCAGGUUGAAGGUUGGGUAACACUAACUGGAGGACCGAACCGACUAAUGUUGAAAAAUUAGCGGAUGACUUGUGGCUGGGGGUGAAAGGCCAAUCAAACCGGGAGAUAGCUGGUUCUCCCCGAAAGCUAUUUAGGUAGCGCCUCGUGAAUUCAUCUCCGGGGGUAGAGCACUGUUUCGGCAAGGGGGUCAUCCCGACUUACCAACCCGAUGCAAACUGCGAAUACCGGAGAAUGUUAUCACGGGAGACACACGGCGGGUGCUAACGUCCGUCGUGAAGAGGGAAACAACCCAGACCGCCAGCUAAGGUCCCAAAGUCAUGGUUAAGUGGGAAACGAUGUGGGAAGGCCCAGACAGCCAGGAUGUUGGCUUAGAAGCAGCCAUCAUUUAAAGAAAGCGUAAUAGCUCACUGGUCGAGUCGGCCUGCGCGGAAGAUGUAACGGGGCUAAACCAUGCACCGAAGCUGCGGCAGCGACACUGUGUGUUGUUGGGUAGGGGAGCGU
rnacentral:rRNA from 1 species